UACGCAGGGGGCUAGCGUUGUUCGGAUUUACUGGGCGUAAAGCGCACGUAGGCGGAUUGUUAAGUCGGGGGUGAAAUCCUGGAGCUCAACUCCAGAACUGCCUUCGAUACUGGCAAUCUCGAGUCCGGAAGAGGUAAGUGGAACUCCUAGUGUAGAGGUGGAAUUCGUAGAUAUUAGGAAGAACACCAGUGGCGAAGGCGGCUUACUGGUCCGGUACUGACGCUGAGGUGCGAAAGCGUGGGGAGCAAACAGG
rnacentral:rRNA from 1 species